AGUGAACGCUGGCGGUAGGCCUAACACAUGCAAGUCGAACGGCAGCACAGUAAGAGCUUGCUCUUACGGGUGGCGAGUGGCGGACGGGUGAGGAAUACAUCGGAAUCUACUUUUUCGUGGGGGAUAACGUAGGGAAACUUACGCUAAUACCGCAUACGACCUACGGGUGAAAGCAGGGGAUCUUCGGACCUUGCGCGAUUGAUUGAGCCGAUGUCGGAUUAGCUAGUUGGCGGGGUAAAGGCCCACCAAAGCGACGAUCCGUAGCUGGUCUGAGAGGAUGAUCAGCCACACUGGAACUGAGACACGGUCCAGACUCCUACGGGAGGCAGCAGUGGGGAAUAUUGGACAAUGGGCGCAAGCCUGAUCCAGCCAUACCGCGUGGGUGAAGAAGGCCUUCGGGUUGUAAAGCCCUUUUGUUGGGAAAGAAAAGCAGCAGGUUAAUACCCCGCUGUUCUGACGGUACCCAAAGAAUAAGCACCGGCUAACUUCGUG
rnacentral:rRNA from 1 species